rnacentral:tRNA from 1 species
GGGCUCGUAGCGCAGUCUGGAUAGCGCAUCUGCCUUCUAAGCAGAGGGUCGUGGGUUCAAAUCCCAUCGGGCCCG